rnacentral:rRNA from 1 species
AGCGAACGCUGGCGGCAGGCUUAACACAUGCAAAUCGAACGCACCUUUCGGGGUGAGUGGCGGACGGGUGAGUAACACGUGGGAACGUGCCCUCUAGUUCGGAAUAACCCAGGGAAACUUGGGCUAAUACCGGAUAAGCCCUUCGGGGGAAGGAUUGAUCGCUAGAGGAUCGGCCCGCCGUCUGAUUAGCUAGUUGGUAGGGUAAUGGCCUACCAAGGCGACGAUCAGUAGCUGGUCUGAGAGGAUGAUCAGCCACACUGGGACUGAGACACGGCCCAGACUCCUACGGGAGGCAGCAGUGGGGAAUAUUGGACAAUGGGCGGCAAGCCUGAUCCAGCCAUGCCGCGUGAGUGAU